AGUGAACGCUGGCGGUAGGCCUAACACAUGCAAGUCGAACGGCAGCACAGUAAGAGCUUGCUCUUACGGGUGGCGAGUGGCGGACGGGUGAGGAAUACAUCGGAAUCUACUUUUUCGUGGGGGAUAACGUAGGGAAACUUACGCUAAUACCGCAUACGACCUACGGGUGAAAGCAGGGGAUCUUCGGACCUUGCGCGAUUGAAUGAGCCGAUGUCGGAUUAGCUAGUUGGCGGGGUAAAGGCCCACCAAGGCGACGAUCCGUAGCUGGUCUGAGAGGAUGAUCAGCCACACUGGAACUGAGACACGGUCCAGACUCCUACGGUAGGCAGCAGUGGGGAAUAUUGGACAAUGGGCGCAAGCCUGAUCCAGCCAUACCGCGUGGGUGAAGAAGGCCUUCGGGUUGUAAAGCCCUUUUGUUGGGAAAGAAAAGCAGCAGGUUAAUACCCCGCUGUUCUGACGGUACCCAAAGAAUAAGCGCCGGCUAACUUCGUG
rnacentral:rRNA from 1 species